GCCUUCGAGGAUCAGUGGUGAUCAUCCCUUCCAAUUCAUGUGAUUUGUGAAUGCAAUGUUCAAGGGAAGGUGGGGGUUCGACUCCCCCCACAGGCA